rnacentral:rRNA from 1 species
UACGUAGGGUGCAAGCGUUGUCCGGAAUUAUUGGGCGUAAAGAGCUCGUAGGCGGUCUGUUGCGUCGGCUGUGAAAACCCGGGGCUCAACUCCGGGCCUGCAGCCGAUACGGGCAGGCUAGAGUUCGGUAGGGGAGACUGGAAUUCCUGGUGUAGCGGUGAAAUGCGCAGAUAUCAGGAGGAACACCGGUGGCGAAGGCGGGUCUCUGGGCCGAUACUGACGCUGAGGCGCGAAAGCCAGGGGAGCAAACGGG